CAGGGUCCCAGCAUAAGAGAGCAAGCUCCGUCAACACCAAGGCCCGCAGCAGGCGAUGUGAACACUGGAGGCGGCGGUUCAAUGGCGCCGGCAUCCAUAGCAGGCGUGUCAACCGAUAAGAACAUGAGAUACACUGUCCUGGCAGGCACCCUUGCAUUCCAGAGCGCCCUUGGCUGGUACCUUCUGUCGAAGCCCAAGAAGACUGAGGAGUUGUUGACUGAUCGCCCCGGCGAGGAUGGUGGAUCAUCCGUCGUCUCUUCCUCCCUCCAUGUGCUUCUUCUCUUGUCUAGGAGGGCGAGGAGACUUCCAUCUGGGCGCUCUUGA
rnacentral:rRNA from 1 species